UACGGAGGGAGCUAGCGUUAUUCGGAAUUACUGGGCGUAAAGCGCACGUAGGCGGCUUUGUAAGUUAGAGGUGAAAGCCUGGAGCUCAACUCCAGAAUUGCCUUUAAGACUGCAUCGCUUGAAUCCAGGAGAGGUGAGUGGAAUUCCGAGUGUAGAGGUGAAAUUCGUAGAUAUUCGGAAGAACACCAGUGGCGAAGGCGACUCACUGGCCCGAUACUGACGCUGAGGCGCGAAAGCGUGGGGAGCAAACAGG
rnacentral:rRNA from 1 species